rnacentral:tRNA from 1 species
ACCUUAGUAGUUUACAAAGAACACUAACCUGUGGCAUUAGAGGAGACGACCACUUAUCGUCCUAGGGUCC